CGGUAUCCGCAGGCGGGUCGAGAACGCAACUUGAUCUCAUAAUCCCUCGGUCGCGGGUUCGAACCCCGCCCGCCCCACCA
rnacentral:tRNA from 1 species